GAUGAACGCUGGCGGCGUGCCUAAUACAUGCAAGUCGAGCGAACAGACAAGGAGCUUGCUCCUCUGACGUUAGCGGCGGACGGGUGAGUAACACGUGGAUAACCUACCUAUAAGACUGGGAUAACUUCGGGAAACCGGAGCUAAUACCGGAUAAUAUAUUGAACCGCAUGGUUCAAUAGUGAAAGACGGUUUUGCUGUCACUUAUAGAUGGAUCCGCGCCGCAUUAGCUAGUUGGUAAGGUAACGGCUUACCAAGGCGACGAUGCGUAACCGACCUGAGAGGGUGAUCGGCCACACUGGAACUGAGACACGGUCCAGACUCCUACGGGAGGCAGCAGUAGGGAAUCUUCCGCAAUGGGCGAAAGCCUGACGGAGCAACGCCGCGUGAGUGAUGAAGGUCUUCGGAUCGUAAAACUCUGUUAUUAGGGAAGAACAAAUGUGUAAGUAACUAUGCACGUCUUGACGGUACCUAAUCAGAAAGCCACGGCUAACUACGUG
rnacentral:rRNA from 1 species